rnacentral:misc_RNA from 1 species
ACACAAGAAAACAGCUCCUGCUUCUCUGCUCGUGGUGCUGACGGUGCCGGACAGCCGUUGGCUUGGUGCCAUAUACACCCGCCUCACACGCGAAGGCCGACUUCGCUGCCUACACCAGAAGACGCUCACAUCGAGAAAGGACGAGGAGGGAGGGAGGGAGGGCAGCAGGGGUACGCACCGCCCCCGCGCACAUUCUUCCGCAUAGCGGUGAACACACACACGUGAAGGGGUGAAUGCGGGGUGCAGUUUGUGCGUCUAUGCGUGCAUACGCGGUGCAUCAGAAUGAGGCGGACUCUCAAGGGCUGCUGUAUUCACCGCUGGAUAGAAGGGCGCUCCUGCUCCGGAUGCUGUGGUGGCUGCUUUGACGCCGCCUCUGCAGCAGCACCAGCAGCUGCUGCUCGUGUGCCCCCAUGGCAGGACUUCUAUGAAUACCGCAGUUAUCACACGCUCGCGCGCUGCACGCUUCGGAUCUCUUCCUGUCGCUCUCAGCAUCCCUAUCGGCUGAUUCGUGCGUACUUGAGAGGCGCAGAACUCUCGUUGCGCAUGAGCGGCGCCAUAAGCUGCACGGCGCGUACCUACAGCGCGCAGGCGUACGCGCACGAGGAGGGCGCCGAUGAUGACGAGGAUGACUACCUGCAGGCCUACGAGGAACUACUGCUAAAUGCGGCUUCUAAUGCGGCGGCCGAUGACGCCGCUCCCCAGCCCGGCGGCACGUGCAGCGAGGGGGUUGCCCAUCUUGACAAGGAGGCUGGUGCUCACGUGGACGGUGCUUUUCCUUCCUUUGAGAGUCCGGCGUCGGUGCCAUUGCCAGCUGAUGCGCUCGUGGAAGACACACUGGCAGCCCUGCCCGCCGAUGGCUCGACCGUGCUGCUGACUGACCUCACCCGCUCACUUGACGUGGAGGCGAUCAGCGAGCUCUUCGGCUCCGUGCUGUCUUUCGUGCAGCUCCACCCGCAUCUCUUUACUUGCACCCAGGACCCCGAUACAGGUAGGUGGCACGUAGCGCGAGGUCUCUCGUCAACCUCGCCGCUCAACGCAGACGCUGCCACCGCUGCAGCGCCUGGCCUAGCAUCUGCCAUUGGUGGAGGCGAAGAGGAUGACCACAAGGCCAUAAUUGUCGACCUCGAUGUGGCGGCGAUGGUGCUGGGCGAGGAGCUAAGGCAUUUAUGUGGCAGCCGUUACUCGUCGCAGACAAGAGCGCAUGAAGCCGAAGCCGCGCACUCCGCGGUAAAGCGAUCGAGGCGUCGCUUAACACCCGCUGCAGUACCUAACCCUCUUUUUCCGACAUCAGGCACUGGCGCUGCCCGCGAUGGCGUAUCGUUGACGACCCCCGAGCAGGCAUGGUGGCCGACCAUUGCGAGCCUCUUGCCCGAGGACGGUACCCCUCUUCCCAUUUCAGUGCUGCGUGCGUCGCUGCCGGGGCCGAUCGCGCAGGAGCUGCGCGCUCGACAAGUGGGUCUGGCUCGGUGCUUCAAGCAGACCUACGCCAUAGCCAGUCGUCAUGUGGCGCUCACGGCAGACUCGACGGCGCUCGUUCGUGCUGCAGUGCAGCGCUCGAACAGCUGCGCAGCCGCCUCCGUUUCAUUGUGGUCUCCGGAGGGCCAAAAGGCGGCAGCUUGGACCAACCACAAGGAGUCGUCGGUGGCGGCUUUCUCCUCUUUCUUGUGCGACGCCGGGGAUGGCUCGUACGUGCCACCCCCGGCGGACUACGACGCGUCGCAGGAUGCAGAGCCGUGGCUGGUAACGAUUUCGCUAGACGACGGCGAGGAGGCGGGCCCGGAGGAGGUGCCUCCUGCGUCAGGCGAUGUGGACGAGGGGGCGCUGGGGCGGAGCGCCGACGCCGCAACUGCGCUGGCGGCUGCGACUGGGCUUCAAGAGAUACCUUACAAUGGCCUCAGUGGUGCUAGUGGGAGGGCGGCGACACAGGCUCAUGGAACAGGCUUGCAGCCGCACGACUUGAAUCUCGAGCGGUUGUAUGACGCCCCAGCGCCGCCGACGGCGGUCGUGAGGAGCAAGCCUUCGACUGCGACGCAGCUAGCAGGCCCUGCUGGUGCGGUGCGCACGGUGCGUCCCCCUCGCCCGUCGACGCCAGCCGAGUGGCUAGCCUUGCACACCGCCAUGGCCGAGGCGCGUGGUUGGAUCACGCCGAUGCAGAUGCUGGAUUACCUGGUCGAGUGCGUGCCCACCUUUUUCAUCCCUUUGGAGGAGUUGCGCCCGUCGGACGCUAUCCUGAAGCUUGUUGGCGCGCGCACGAGCAUGCGCACGCUGGUAUGUCGGGUCUACAUGUACUUUGUGGAGAGGUCGGAGGAUAAGAUGCAGAUCCGACUGGCGCCAACCCUCGAGCACGCGCAGCGCGGCGCAGCCAACGCGCACUACGCGGCAUGGAACCCUGACACGGCGAACAAGUGUGAGCAGUGUGGUGCCGAUGCAACGCCGAGCGAAGCGCCAGCACCAACGAACGCCGGCACCGGCACCGGCACCGCCGCUAACCCAGGCGACCGCCAAGACAGUGCUACUCACAGCGGCCCCAGGAGCGGCGGCACUGUGUUGCAGUCUAGCGAUACGACGAAGGCCUUUCCGGUCAUGCGUGUGCGGAGGCCCAUCAAAAGCCUACUCAGCGUGAGGUCGUUCAAAGCCAUGCCCGCCACUGCCAAGGCGGCUGCAUCGCCUGCAGCCUUGCCCACCGCCAUGCGGCUGAGCUCCCCUGAUGCACAAGCAGGAGCCAGCACAGGUGCCGGAUCGAGCUCCACUCCCACCGCCCUCAAAGGCGGCGGUGGCUUUAUCGCGUUGUCCUCGGUGCCGACUGGCGAGAUCGGUUACCCGUUUCUGGCCUUAGCCACUCAGCCGGUGCACACGUGGCCGUGGUGGGCAAGGCUACUGUGCGUGUUGCCGUUUGACACGUACGUGCCACUGGACCAUCUCCGCAUCCACUACUGUCCUGACCUUGCGCCCGAAAACGUCCAUCUCGCUUGGAGGGCCGCGGACGCGUCGUUUUUGCCGACAACGUCGUCCGAAAAGGUGCGCACGCCGAUCCCGUUCUCACUGCUUCGUGCGCCGACGACCUCUCGUAGAGUGCGACUGCGCCCUUUUUGGCUGUCACCAGGCUGCACGGCAGAGCUGGAGAGCACGGUGAUGCCGGUGGGCCUCGUGAAGCAGCUGCGCCCAGUGUGGCUGCCAGUCUCACGCCUGCUAUCCAAGCUGACCCCUGAGGAGCGAGAAGAGAGCUUGGCCUUGGCUGUCCGUCGCCCUUCCGCUGCUGGCCUAUCCGCCGACGAAGCACUCGUCAUGCUGCUGCGUGAUUGCGGGCGCUGUUGCUGGGUGCAAGAGGACGGUGCAAAGGUGCGUAGGUAUGCGGCUUCCAGCGCGCUGGACGACCACUUUCACGCCUCGCUUUCACUGCUGUACGGCUUCAGCUCCGCGCGUGUGUGGGAGCCUCUGCCGGUGGUGUUGGACCGCGCGUCGGAGCACGUGCGCUCUCUCUUCGCACAUUCACAAAUGCCCCCACUGGCGUCUCCGAACACGGUUGGGCUGAUUGGCAUGCUGCGUCAAGCACCGCCUGCAGCGCUCAAAGCAUUUCUCAUGCGACAUGCGCAGUGGCUGGAAGUGAAGGCGACCGAUGGCAGGGAGACGAGGGACGAGGCGGCGGCCCCGUUGCUCGUACGCAGGCGUGCGGCUCUGGUCUCGUUCUGAAGAGAGCCAGAGAGGAGCGCGCGGGUGCUCGUGUGAGAGGCACUGGACGGAGUGGCAAUCUAGUUGUCGGCGCUUCUCGUGCUGCACAUGCGUGACUGUCCAUCGCUGGGGCAGAGAUAACACGUUGGUAUCUCGUUCACGCAUAUAUGUCCUCCAACGGACCUUUUCUGAGGCAGGAAUACAUGCACGCAUAUGAUGGGCGGCAGCCUCGAUGCACACGACCAGGUCAUCACAUCGGUUUCUUGUUGUUUUCUUUCUUCCUCUUUUCAGCUGCUCGUGAUGCGUGGAAAGUCACUGUGCGGCGCAGGCGCGAAGGGACGACACGCUUGCCGCGGGAUGCGGAGCGGAGCUGUGCUUAUCGGUUGUCAUACGCAUAACCGCACAAAACGUUGAUGCGCGUGACGUAACGGCUACCACUACAGCGAGUGAGCGGCGGUUGUUUUGUUCCUGAUAAAUCCGCGCGUACGCAUCCACCGGGCGUUUGCUUGUUGCUGGGGUGACAUUCGCACGCCUUUCGCUCGAAGCCGGGCA